AUUGGAGCCGACAGGAGCGGAGCAGGCCAGUGCCGUGGGUCGGGUCGUCGGCGGGAGAGCAGCUGCGUUGCAUCUCUCCCUCACUUGCUCUGGGAGGUCACCAGGAGGGUUGCGGCAUCUCCAUCUCCGGAGGAUUACAGUCUACCUCUCGCAGGUUGUUGUGCCUCUCCCUCCUCCAGGCUUCACCCCAAUGUUUGUCUUGUCUUCUAUCCUGCUGCUGCGUGUAUGGCCGCUCCUCUUCAUCUCCCCUUGCCAUAAUGAACCUUGUCAUUGCAACCGUUUGAAGUUAUAUCAACUCUUUGUUUUCUUCCCCUGCCUUACACUGAACUACACAUGCAGAAAUUGCUUUACUUAUAAACUAUGCAGAUUCCAUGUAUAUAUGCCUACAAGGUGUUUGACAAUAUUCCUAGCAGGUUGUUCCCAUAUUGUGUUUCUUAUUCUUUUGAUUUUUUGUGUUGCGAGGAGAUAAAGAAUCAAAACUGAUUUGUUUGGUCAACCAACUUAAGUACUGGUUAGCAAAUCUAUGGGCCUAUAUUUUGCCUUUGAUUUUAGUUAGAGUAGAGUUACAUCCUCCAUUGAGAUAUUUGUUGUAUGUUGUCUGACACAUUGUACCUGCCUCGUCCUCGCCGCUCAGCCCGAGGAGCACAUGCUCCUUCUGUGCUCGGCACCAGCGACUUCGCGAUCUUCCUCGAUGCAACGCAAGAGGAGCACACUCCCGAGAGGGGCAUCCAUGGCGUUGGUUCCGUCGACCUGUUCCCAGCUAUUCUGGUCCUCCCCGUUGCCGUCGCCCUGUUCGUCCCUCUCCAUGAGCUCGCGCCACUAAGCAGCCGCGACACCACAUGAAACCGUCAGUGUGUGUUCGGUGUGCUCCUGGUGGCUGCAGAACUAUGUGUACCCGAGAGUUGUCCUUGGACGUUGACUGGGUCAUGUUCGACAACACUCUUUGGUUUGUCAUGAAUGGAAAUAUGGAACAUGUAGAUACAGUGCGGAAAUCUGGAAGAUGAUGCUCACGUGCUUUUUGCCUUCUAUAUCUGAGGGUAAGAACUAAAGAGAAGAGUCAAUGUUGUUGUUGAGGAUCUCAGAACUGGUCCCUGGAUUUGGUGUUGUUGAGAUAAAGAGAAGGAUCUGAAGCUACAACCCCUUC